rnacentral:tRNA from 1 species
UGCUCUGUGGCGCAAUUGGUUAGCGCGUCUGACUGUUAAUCCAACAGAUCAUCAGGAGGUUGAGAGUUCGACCCUCUCCGGAGCAG